CCCCUUUUUAAAGCAUUUGAUGGGCCUUUUGCUAAUGACCCAUUGAACUGGCAAGAAAGGGCAGAAUAAAAACGCUGCUUCUGGGUGAGGUGGCAGCAUGUUGUGUUGUUUUACUCCAUUCAGUGUUGUGGCGAUA
rnacentral:snoRNA from 1 species